rnacentral:antisense_RNA from 1 species
GUCAGGCAAAGCGCUCGAAUGUAUGACGUUCGCGUCGCGUGUCUGGCAUCAAGGAAGAUGGACGCGUCGCCGCCACCCUAGAGGCGGCAUCCCGCGCGUGACGCCCGAUCAGGCACCGUCGUGACCGGAUUCCUUGUUUUCUCGUUCGCUGACCACGUCGGCAUGCGCCACGCGCGCGGGGCCGCUCAGCUGGUCGCCGAGGUGUAGCGAUAGGACAGCAGCGACUUCACCAGGAACGUGAUCUGGGUGGCCGAGCGCGCGUCCACGCGCAUGACCGGGAUGCGGAAGCCUUCGGCCACCAGUGCGUCGCGGAAC